AAUAUAUCACACAAGCGAUAACUACUGUAGAAUGUAUUAUUGGGUGAUGAUACAAAUAUACAUUAAUAUGUUUAAAUAUUUAAAGGUAAAUUACAGAAAACAGUGGAUGGUGGUUAUUCAUCCGAAGACAGGUUUUCUGUAUAUAUUGACGGACCAUUUACCUCUCCGUUAUGUCGGAUGAACCAAUCAAAAAUAGCCGUGUGUAUUGCGGGCGGAAUCGGUGUAACGCCAUUCAUAUCAUUUUUGGAUAGAUUACGAUUUCGUAGUGACAAGUUAUUUAGGUUAAAGAAGGUAUAUUUUAUAUGGAUCAACAGAGAUCGAGUGAACAUAACAUGGUUUAUAGAUGGAAUAAUGAACACACAUAAAACC